AGGCGACGACGGGUAGCCGGCCUGAGAGGGUGACCGGCCACACUGGGACUGAGAUACGGCCCAGACUCCUACGGGAGGCAGCAGUGGGGAAUAUUGCACAAUGGGCGCAAGCCUGAUGCAGCGACGCCGCGUGAGGGAUGACGGCCUUCGGGUUGUAAACCUCUUUCAGCAGGGACGAAGCGCAAGUGACGGUACCUGCAGAAGAAGCACCGGCCAACUACGUGCCAGCAGCCGCGGUAAUACGUAGGGUGCGAGCGUUGUCCGGAAUUACUGGGCGUAAAGAGCUCGUAGGUGGUUUGUCGCGUCGGCNGUGAAAACCCGAGGCUCAACCUCGGGCCUGCGGUGGAUACGGGCAGACUAGAGUGCUGCAGGGGA
rnacentral:rRNA from 1 species